CAAGUAAGCCAGCGAAUUUAGCCGUUGCAAGCCGAAUUACAAGGGAGAUUAACUCCAACUUUUGUUUUUGCCGCAUGAAAAGGCACCUCCAUUAUAGCCUAAAAUGUUCCCUGAUAUUUAUAUAUACUACUUUUUAUGCCUACCAAUUGUACAACAGUCCCUCCAGAUUGAAUUUCGGAUUUUUCAAGGUGUAUCAGCAUCUUGGAUGCAUAUUUGUCCAAUCUGACCGUUAUGACAGAGGAAUGAGCGACACCCACAAGCAGAAAUCUAGUUUUUAAAGGCCAGAGGAGUCGUGGUUUUCUGAUCAGGGUUGUGUUUUGUGAAGAAUACAGAACAGGGGUUGAAAGAAAAGACUUAUACUCUGCAAAUAUGUGUUGUGGUUCUCUCUGCAAGAGAAUUGCCUGCAUGACUGCAAUGGCAAAUAUGAGGCAGCACUUGCCCCAACUGGUAGACCAUUUCUUUAUGGGACACCCAUGGCUCUCUGAUUCAAUUUAAUUUAUUGUGACAGAGAAAAAAUGUUGUGGUUUACAUUCUUGUGAUGAUGUAUACUUUGUGUAUAUUUGAAUAAAAUUAAGAGCACUGCAAGGGCCUAACACUGUUUAAUU